GGAGCCCCAGGAAUACCCACCCGCUGCCCAGAUCGGCAGCCGCUGCUGCGGGGAGAAGCAGUAUCGUGCAGGGCGGGCACGCUGGUCUUGCUUACAGUUGGGCUUCGGUGGGUUUGAAGCACACAUUAGGGGGAAAUGGCUCUGUUCCUGCAGAUUUUAUAGGUUCAGAAAGUGUGUCUCAGAGGAGUUAGAGAAGACCGAUUAAUAGAUGACAGUGCUAAAGCCUGGAUCUCCUGAAUCCUGGAUGAAAGUGUCCUAAGUUAGAUUCCUGGGAAGAAAAUUCUGAGACACAUUCUGCAGGAUGAUUAUUAGGGCUCAUCCUUGGUUUCAACACCCAUAGAAGGAAGGGGGAAGAAGAAAUCGAACAGAGAGACAGAAGUCGAGAUGCAUUUCAGGCCAGGACUCUUGGCUGAACCCACAGGAGCUCUGGAGCUAGAAUGGCCCUUCAGAGUUGUCCUGAGUUGGUCUGAGAUGGCCAGUUCUUUAUAUUCCUGCAUGGGAUAGUCACUGGAUGUCCACCCCAGGAAGGGGUGUGGCCAAGACAGUCCCUAAAAUGCCCGCCAGCACUCCCUACACCUGGAGCGACAAGACCAACAUCACAGGGGGAAUGCACUGGGUGAUGGAUCACAGCGUUCAUCCCAGAAGAUGAGGAUACAGAAUUGGCUGACAACUACGUUCUAAAUGUCAGUGUUCUCCAAAAUUCAUAUGUUGAAACUUAAUUCCCAAUGUGAUGGCAUUAGGAAGUGGGGCCUUUGGGGGAGGGACUAUAGGUCAUGAGGGUGUAACCCUCAUCAAUGGGAUUAGUGUCCAGAGAGCUGCCUUGCCCUUCCACCAUGUGAGGACAUAGUGAGAAGGUGCCAUCUAUGAACUAGGAAGUGGGCGCUUACCACCAGACACCCACUCUUCUGGCAACUUGAUCUUGAAUUUCCCAGCCUCCAGAACUCUGAGAAAUCAAUUUCUGUUAAUUAUAAGCUACCCAGUCGAUAGCAUUUUGUUAAAGCUGCUGGAACUAAACUAAGACACUGACGCUUUCUGCGACAAAAAGAUAGAGUGAGUCUCUAUAGCAUACCAUGUAACAGAUGUUUUUGGAAAAAUAACCUCAUUUCAUAUGUUUCCUCAAGAUAAAAAGAAUGUCAUAACAACAAAUGAGAAAAUAGUUGCUUUAGAAAUAUUGCACCCUAUGGAGAGAGUAUUUUGGAUUUUGGUUUUUUGUUUUGUUUUUUAACUUUUGUUUUAGGUUUGGGGGUACAUAUGCAGGUUUGUUAUAUAGGUAAACUCAUGUCACAGGGGUUUGUUGUACAGAUAAUUUCCUCACCCAGGUACUAAGCCUAGUACCCAAUAGUUGCUUUUUCUCCUCCUCUCUCUCCUCCCACCCUCCACCCUCAAAUAGGCCCCAGUGUAUGUUGUUCUCUUCAUUAUGUUCAUGAAGUUGAGAGAGUGUUUUGAAAAAGAAUGUUGGAAAGCAUUUCCACUGUUAGAUGAUUUUAAGUCAAAAAGUUAUACAACAGUGUGACCUAUUUGCACACAAGCAUGGACACAGAAUUGUGUCAUAUGUUUAAAACUUUUCUAGAUCCUUUUGUGGUUCAUAAGCUUGAUGAUUGAGUUUUCGCGUCCACAUGUGAGAUGUGCCUCCCUUGAGCCUUGUCAUUGGCACAUUACCUGCCUGAUGUGAACAAUAAAAAUAAAAAAUAAAAAUUUGCUAA
ensembl:lncRNA ELOVL2-AS1 ELOVL2 antisense RNA 1